AGAAAGAAAAAAAAAGAAAAAGAAAAGAAAGAAAGACAGAGAAGGGAGAAAGGGUUAUCGAGGGAGAAGAGAGGAAGAGAGGGUUGUGUCGGGGAAGAAAAGGAGAGGAAGAGAGGUCUGAGGGAGAAGUGAGUUGCGUCGCAGGGGAGAAGAGGGAGACCGAGCCGUCGCGCCACCACCGAAUCAUCGCGCCGCCACGCCGCCGCCACCGUCGGGCUGCUGUGCUGCCAUCGAUACGGUUCAGAGAGGAAGGAAGCGCUACGGUGAGGAAGGGAGCAGGAGCCCAUCGCGCUCGCUGCAAGCCCGUCGUCCGUGUCUUGUCGCCGCGCUGGAGUCGUCGCCGCCAAUGCUGAGCACCGCCGCUGCCGCCUUUGAGGGGAGCCGCCACCAUAGCUGGGAAGAACGGAGUAGGGGAGAGGAGGUUUUGUUGAUGUUGUGGCAGAGAAGGAGGACGAGACGUGUGAGAGAGAGUGACGCACAGAGGAGAGACCAUUCCUCUGCCGCCACCGAUCGCUGCCAUCAUUAAUGGUGAGUCAGUUAAGCCCUAGCUAUGAGAACCACCAUCUCUGAACCCUUAUUGCUCUGUAAAAUACCCUUAUUGUUUGUUGGGGUUUGUCUCAAUUGGAGUCACUGGUGAAGGCGUUGCCGCUGCUGGAAGCCAACGUCGAGGCUGUUGCUGGUUCUGAUUCUAUUAUCCUGUUUUUGCUUUGUCUUGGAUUCCUAGGGCUGUUACACUGGUUAAAGAAUAUACACAAAAUUAUGAUACUUACAUUGGAAGGAUUUGAUAACAAAGAAGAAUCAAUGCUAUAUUGAUGCAAGAUCCAUCCACCAUCAUGGCUAGUACCACUCUUCUCAAAGCGAUAUCGUUUCCUCAUUCCAAUGCGCUGGUUAGUUUUAUUGGCCAUAAUCUCUUUUCCGAUGUCUUCACCUUCCCAACAACCCAACCCGAUGGUGCGAACCAUUCUCAAGCUGUUAGUCGAGAACUUCCUCUUCAGACUAGUGAAGAAAUAGAGGUCCUUCCCGUCAUAAGAAUUUUCAACGUUUUCUUCCCAAAUUUCCCAUGGAUUCUUCUCCGUACCAAACAAUUCACCUUCAAGAAUGGUUCCAUAGUUUGGUAGAGGCCUCCCAUUGAUUUUGUUACGGAGAAAAUCUUGAAUGAGUUCUUCAUCUGUAGAUAAUUUUCGUUGAUAAUUGGUUUCAAUUCGGUGUAUAGGAGCUUGCUUGCAAGAUAUAUUCCCCCAGCUUGAAAGAGUUCUUUUAGCCUAUGAUUGCCAAAUUGCUAAGUAUUUUUGUGUGCAUUAAUCUGUGCAUGCGACCAACAUGUAAGUAUGUCUCUUUCAAGAUCCCAAAAUGAACACUCUGGCCCAUCAUUUUAAAGAAUUUUUGUUCAUAACAGAACACUUAAGGCGGUGGCUAUUGAAAAUCCAAAUGAUGCUGAUCAAGCUGCUGAAAUUGUUCUCAGUGAAUUGCACAGAGACUUAAUAUUGCCACUACCAUGGAAGAGUUGGAAAUUCAAGAAUAAAACAAAGACUCGACAAAAAUUCAAGACUGAAAUAGAGUAUUUGCUCUUAAAGUUGGGCACCUGGCAGUUCUCAAAUAAACAAGUAAUUGGACGGGAUUUUGAUUCAAAUUCAAAUUGGAAAUGGUUUUAUUCCAGGACUUGCAGCUGCAUUUUUAUUGUUAACAAGAAGAGAAGAUAUGAGAGAGCGUGCUGCAAGUUUUGAAAGGGGGAGUAGUUGGCACCAUAUGAGGGAAAGACUUCCUCUUUCGAUGUCGCAGAGAAGAGAAGAAGAAAACAACGGUGAAGAAACAAAGAACGAUGGAAGAAGGAGAAGAGGGUGGCGACGACAGGGACGGUCACAGAGAAGGAUGCCAGAUCGAUAGAGAAAAGAAGAGAAAUGAGGCGACGGCGGUGAUGGAUGCCGCCGCCGCUGUUGGAUCCGUAGAACUGUGUCCAUUUAUCUAUCAAUCGGCAUUUCUGCAGAGUUAUCCAUUUGAGUUGUGGAGUAUACACAAAUCAAUUUGUGGUUCAAAAUACCUAGACAUAUCACCAGUGAAAAAGUAGGAGGAAUUCACUGGUGAUGGAAGCAGUAACUGACAGAGAAGAUAGAGAAUGUGUAUUUUCGACCUGUAGAAAGUCCUAGCCCUAACCUUGCACACUUUGCCCUUCUUCAGAGAUGGUGUCAAGCUUUGGAGGGAAUAAAUUGAAAAAGCUAAAUCAGCUCUGGCUAAGGAUGAGGCUGAGCUUUCAAAAUUGAAAAAAGAAGAAAGCACACUUAAAGAUAUUGUGCAACAGCGAAGCGGUAUCCUUUUUCUUUCAUGCUGCUCAUGACUGACUCUGAACUUGAAUGUAAUGAAAAACAGCUGCACCAGACAUGACACCGGCUGCCAAUAUUAAAGGUGGCAGAAGCAUUGUAUUUUUAGGCACUGUCUAAGUCUCUAAGACAUUAACUGUAGACGAACUGCUUUAUUUAAAGGAGGAGUUUACACUUUUGGAGCCAAACAAAAAUGGAGCGGCCUCGAUGAAAAAUGCAACAAAUGCUAUGGAGUCACACAUUAUUGACUUUUUUGGAUUAAUUCCAUGAUGCAAAUUCCAUGUCAUUAGAGUUUAGUGUUCUUAAGGAUCUCAUUGAGAUUUUAGAGAGCAAAAGUAGCCUCAUUGAAGAGGCAGGGAGCUUGCAAUGUCUUCAAUCAAAUUGGUAGGUAUCGAUACUGCUUGCUAUAUUAGCCAGUAGUAUCUAAGACUUAUUUUUUCAUUUGAGAUCUAGCAUCAUAUGGUUAUGUUACCUUAGCCUCCUAAUAAUUGUGGUUAACGGGUUAUAGUUGUGUCCUACUUAUUGAUGGAGGGAAAGAACUUUUAAGAUUUUGAAUUAAAAGAUAAAAGAACUUUUAGGAUGCUAUCUAAUUAAUAUGUUCGUCUGAUGGUAUACCAGCAAGUACAACUAGAUUUUGUUCCUUUACUAAAAAAAGUAUUAAUUGGAAUAUAAAAAAUGCAUAGAAUUCUCUGUAACUCCAUAGCAUCAAUAAAAAAAUACUGAAUGAGAAAUUUCAACAAUCCAUGUCCCACUAUCAAAAUACUGAAUGAGCAUUUUUAACAAUUUAUGUCCCAUUUAUCAAUUUUAACCUUUUUUUUCUUUAAAAUAAUAAUUGUGCUAGAAGAAUUGAUAUAUGAAAAGAAGAAGACUAUUUUCUAAUAAAGUAAUUUCAGAAUUAAAGCUUUUAAGUUAUAACAAUAUUAAAAAUAAAAAAAAUGAAAGAAUUUUGUUUUACUAAUUGAUUGAAUCUAAGAAUAUUUUUCUAUUUAGCAUUUGUAUGUUUCAUUUUUGUUGAACGAAGAAGAAUUUAUUAUUCUCAAGUCACAUCAUUUUUUUUAUCUACACUCUUCAAUAAAAAUGCUUUUAUUAGUACUUAAUUACUAUUUUAUUAUUUUAACAUAUACUUAAAAUAAUGUGAAUUAAAAUUAACUUUAAUGUUUUUAUUCAUUUGUUUGCUAGCUACGUUUUGAUGUAACUUUUUGGUUAAAAAAAGCUUAGAUUUUGUAGGAUGUCCAUUUUUGCUUCAAAAGAGGUUAGUAUUAUAUUUUUUACUUUUAUAGUAUUAAUUUAAUUAACUAAAUUAAUUGAAAAAGUAGUUUUUUUUAAGCUAUUAUUUUUCUUUUCAUCCUCCAUGAUAUACACCAAAUAUUAAAAGGCACAACAUAUUAUAUGGUGGCUUUAAUUAGUAAAAGGCAUAGAAAAUAAUAGUAUUUUUUAGAAAUCAAGAUAUAAAAAUGAAAGAGAUCCUUAAGGAGGUUCAUCAUUACAAAAGAACUUGGAAGAGAUUCAGAUUUGAAAAAGAAUGGGCAUCAAGUAUGUAUGCUGGUAGGGGGUCGGUGGGUAGAAGAUGAUUUUGAGGUUGCAAAUCUGUGAUUGUUUGUUGGCAGGGUCUUAAUGCGGUGCUCAAGUGAUUAUCUGUUUAUGGAUAGUUUUUCUAGAACAAUUGAUGUAAGUCAUGUAACUGUCUUUUUUUUUUGUUCUCUUAGUUUAGGUUAUCUUUUUGUAUCAAUUUGUCAGUUGGAUGUAUUUUGUGGAACUUAUUUUAAUAACUUCCUUUUAGUUUUCGUAAAUUGAACUUAUAAAAAAAAAGCAUGGAAAUAAUUUAAAAACAUAUAUUUGUGUUAAGAUA